rnacentral:rRNA from 1 species
GGUGUCCUACGGGGCGCAGCAGUGAGGAAUAUUGGUCAAUGGUCGGGAGACUGAACCAGCCAAGCCGCGUGAGGGAUGAAGGUACAGAGUAUCGUAAACCUCUUUUGUCAGGGAACAAAGGCGGGGACGCGUCCCCGGAUGAGUGUACCUGAAGAAAAAGAAUCGGCUAACUCCGUGCCAGCAGCCGGGGGAAUACGGAGGAUGCGAGCGUUAUCCGGAUUUAUUGGGUUUAAAGG